CCUACGGGUGGCUGCAGUGGGGAAUAUUGGACAAUGGGGGGAACCCUGAUCCAGCCAUGCCGCGUGUGUGAAGAAGGCCCUCGGGUUGUAAAGCACUUUCAGUGAGGAAGAACGCCUGGUGGUUAAUACCCAUCAGGAAAGACAUCACUCACAGAAGAAGCACCGGCUAACUCCGUGCCAGCAGCCGCGGUAAUACGGAGGGUGCGAGCGUUAAUCGGAAUUACUGGGCGUAAAGCGCGCGUAGGUGGCUUGAUAAGCCGGUUGUGAAAGCCCCGGGCUCAACCUGGGAACGGCAUCCGGAACUGUCAAGCUAGAGUGCAGGAGAGGAAGGUAGAAUUGCCGGUGUAGCGGUGAAAUGCGUAGAGAUCGGGAGGAAUACCAGUGGCGAAGGCGGCCUUCUGGACUGACACUGACACUGAGGUGCGAAAGCGUGGGUAGCAAACAGGAUUAGAUACCCUUGUAGUC
rnacentral:rRNA from 1 species